rnacentral:misc_RNA from 1 species
GGAAUCUUGAUUUCUUGAAGUACUUUCCUAAUCUGGAAAAACUGUCUCUGGCUGAUAAUAUGUUCACUGGAAAAAUACCAUUUUCAUUGAAAUCUUUCCGAAAUCUUCGUUUUCUCAACAUUUCAGGGAAUAGUUUCCUUGAAGGUCCAGUACCUGUCAUGAGCCAAAUUGAGCAUUUAUCAGCAGAUUUGAAUCGAAAAAAUGGCGUUCCUAAACGUUACAUUCUAGCUGAGAAUUCAACAAGGAUAUCUGCAAUGGGACCUGCUUCGGUUCCAGCUCCAGCUCCAGCACCUGUCAAUCGUGUUGUACCGGCGAUGCAUAAACGUAAGAACAAGAAAAGGAAGUUACGAUCUUGGUUUCUUGGUUUCCUAGCUGGAACUUUUGCUGGGGGUAUAUCUGCUGUGCUCUGUUCCUUGCUAUUCAAGAUGGUAAUGUUCUUCGUAAGAAGAGGGAAUAACGAUUCA